CUACGGGAGGCAGCAGUAGGGAAUUUUGGACAAUGGGCGCAAGCCUGAUCCAGCAAUGCCGCGUGAGUGAAGAAGGCCUUCGGGUUGUAAAGCUCUUUUGUCAGGGAAGAGACGGUGUUUUCUAAUACAGAAUACUAAUGACGGUACCUGAAGAAUAAGCACCGGCUAACUACGUGCCAGCAGCCGCGGUAAUACGUAGGGUGCAAGCGUUAAUCGGAAUUACUGGGCGUAAAGCGUGCGCAGGCGGUUUUGUAAGUCUGACGUGAAAUCCCCGGGCUCAACCUGGGAAUUGCGUUGGAGACUGCAAGGCUAGAGUUUGGCAGAGGGGGGUAGAAUUCCACGUGUAGCAGUGAAAUGCGUAGAUAUGUGGAGGAACACCGAUGGCGAAGGCAGCCCCCUGGGUCAAGACUGACGCUCAUGCACGAAAGCGUGGGGAGCAAACAGGAUUAGAUACCCGUGUAGUCCG
rnacentral:rRNA from 1 species